CAUAUCAGCUAUCAAUCCAAAGACCAACAAUGAUUCUCAGGAAACACAUGGUUCUGAUAGUUGCAGCAAUGUGAAAGUAGAACUCACUGAUGGGUGGUACUCGAUUAAUGCUGCUCUGGAUGUGGUGCUAACAAAGCAGCUGAAUGCUGGAAAAUUGUUUGUUGGGCAGAAGCUUCGAAUCCUCGGGGCAGGACUUUCUGGCUGGGCUACCCCAACAUCACCUCUUGAGGCAGUAACUUCAAGUACAAUCUGUUUGUUGUUGAAUAUUAAUGGGACAUACAGAG